ensembl:lncRNA
ACUCCAUAAUAUCGACAGAAACAUGGCAAACGUUGUUUAGAAUCAAUCCUCCAGGUGUUUUUCACAUAUCUAUCGAUGAUAAAUAAUUUGUGGCAGUUUGGUUUCUCCUCUGAAGAAAAUGGAACGCGCAUGGACCUGGAGACUACGCAAUAAUUUCGACGGAGGACACCGGGCGGACACCUGAGGUGAUGACUACUCCGCUCCACUCCCUUUGUCUCCUCACAUGAACUGAAGCCACGUCUCAUGUGCCCACUCAUCCACUGGCACAUUGAAUGUUUCCCCUCCAAGCAUUUCAAAUCCUGUCCUACACUGGUCAAGCCUCUGAACACCUCAACUCAUGCGUCAUACCCUCAUUCAAUCACUGCUGUUAUCCCUUUCUCACACGGUGGCACUAUCCUAGGUUGAUAACUACCUGAUACGUCUACAGCUGUAAGGCACUAGUUUUGGGCAGUCUGCAGGGAUGACCUAUGGACUUCUGCGGAUAAACUGACUAUCUCGAGGGACAAUCAAGGCGAAACAACAAGGUGGUGGACGGAAUUGCAGAAUCUCCACAUGAGACCUAGAUGGAAUCUGAGGACAAAGUGAGGUAAAUGAUCUCUGAGAAAUUGAAGAUGGACCACAGGAGAAUUGAGGUGGAACGUGCCCACAGGACUGGAAAACCCACCACCGGCCCAGGUGAUAGGCUCAGGCCGAUAGUGGUCAAGUUCCUGAGGUUCAAGGACAAGGUAGCUGUUCUGGAAAGAGCCAUGAACUUGAGAGGACUAUCCUGAAGCUCUGCGCCAGAAGAGGAAAGAACUGCUCCCAGCCAAUGAAAGCUGCCAGAGCGCGUGGGGAUAUUGCAUACAUCCGCUACGACAAGCUCAUUGUCCACCCUCCCUCCCAGAAGCCUGGAAGGGAUGAGAGAGCCACAAGCCUAUGGGUUCGUAGCCUCAACCCCGCAGCACACACACACACACACACACACCAAUUGAUUAAUGGACUGCUGAAUGUAUUUUUUCUCUUGCUUUGUCUGCUCUUUUUAAUAUUAUGUCUACCUCUGAUAAGCUACAAAGGAAAGGACUGAACAUAGCCCAUAUUAAUAUAUGUAGCCUUAAAAAUGAGGUUCAUGAAAUCAGUAACUUGCUAACAUCAGAUAACAUUCAUAUACCUAUUAGCCAUUUCUGAGACUCAGAUAAUUAAUUUGAUGAUACAUCAGUAGCAAUAGAAGGAUAUAACAUUUAUAGAAGAGACAGAAAUGCUUAUGGUGGAGGAGUUGCUUUAUAUAUUCAGAGCCAUAUCCCUGUCAUGCUUAGAGAAUAUCUUUUGUCAAGUGCUUUGAAGUGUUUUGGUUGCAGGUUCACUUGGCACAUCAAAAGCCUUUUCUUUUGGGGUGUUGCUUUUUAUAUAUUUUUUUAUAAAAAGGGGAUAAUAAAGAGUGAAAAUCAGCACAAAAGCAAUAAUGGCAUUAUAAUGAAUAUAAGUGACAUUAUGACAGCUGUCAAAAAUAGUUCAUUACUGUCUGCCCAUGCUGAGAGGGUGUGCGUCUUCACGCAAUGGCAUCAGUUAGAGCAUGUCCAUGUCACAUAAACAAUGAAAACUGGUGAGUGCGUUGCUGGUGUUGUUUUUUUCUUGAGAUAUAGGGUCUCCUCUCUCAGUGAUUACAUUUUGUGCUGAUAUCCAGCCUGUAGUAUUGUCACUGGUUUGUUUUAUCCAAAAUGGUGCUGUCCUUUCCUCUCUCCUGUCUCAUCCAUACUUGUUUUGUAGUCUGGGCAUACUGAGAUUUGAAAUACGAGUUUGGAGAUACAUUAGUGGCACCCUCUCAGUUGGAAUGUUGACUUGGAAGUGGACUGAAGUGUAGAGGUUUUUUUUACAAGAAAUGUUUCUAAUUUUGGAAAUCAUAUGAUGCUAUGCAAAAUCACAGUUUGAUACAUGUUCUUACACUGCCAUCCAGGACCUCUAUACCAGGAGGUGUCAGAGGAAGGCCCUAAAAAUUGCCAAGACUCCAGCCACCCAAGUCUCUUUGCUACCACAUGGCAAGCAAUAACGGAGUGUCAAGUCUAGGUUUAAAAGGUUCCUUAACAGCUUCUACCCCAAGUCAUAAGACUGCUAAACAGUUCAUUUAAUGGCUACGCAGACUAUUUGCAUUGACUCUCUUUUUUACACUGCUGCUACUAGCUGUAUGUUAAUGUAUUCUCUUUACCCCUCACUACAUGUACAGUACCAGUCAAAAGUUUGGACACACCUACUCAUUAAAG